UACGUAGGAGGCAAGCGUUAUCCGGAAUGACUGGGCGUAAAGGGUGCGCAGGCGGAUUUUUAAGUCAGCGGUCAAAUCGUGGGGCUCAACCCCAUCCAGCCGUUGAAACUGGGGAUCUAGAGUGUGCGAGAGGUAUGCGGAAUGCGUGGUGUAGCGGUGAAAUGCAUAGAUAUCACGCAGAACCCCGAUUGCGAAGGCAGCAUACCGGUGCACAACUGACGCUCAGGCACGAAAGCGUGGGUAUCGAACAGG
rnacentral:rRNA from 1 species